GCCGGGUGUGGUGGUGCAGGCCUGUAAUCCUAGCAGCUUGGAGGCUGAGGAAAGAGAAUCGAGAGUUCAAAGCCAGCCUCAGCAACUUAGCAAUGCCCUAAGCAACUCAGUGAGUCCCUGUCUCUA
rnacentral:sRNA from 1 species